rnacentral:rRNA from 1 species
CCUACGGGUGGCUGCAGUGGGGAAUAUUGGACAAUGGGCGAAAGCCUGAUCCAGCCAUGCCGCGUGUGUGAAGAAGGCCUUCGGGUUGUAAAGCACUUUCAGUGGGGAAGAAAGCCUUGGGGCUAAUACCCUCGAGGAAGGACAUCACCCACAGAAGAAGCACCGGCUAACUCCGUGCCAGCAGCCGCGGUAAUACGGAGGGUGCGAGCGUUAAUCGGAAUUACUGGGCGUAAAGCGCGCGUAGGCGGUCUGAUAAGCCGGUUGUGAAAGCCCCGGGCUCAACCUGGGAACGGCAUCCGGAACUGUCAGGCUAGAGUGCAGGAGAGGAAGGUAGAAUUCCCGGUGUAGCGGUGAAAUGCGUAGAGAUCGGGAGGAAUAACAGUGGCGAAGGCGGCCUUCUGGACUGACACUGACGCUGAGGUGCGAAAGCGUGGGUAGCAAACAGGAUUAGAUACCCGGGUAGUC